rnacentral:rRNA from 1 species
GAUGAACGCUGGCGGCGUGCCUAAUACAUGCAAGUCGAGCGAACGGACGAGAAGCUUGCUUCUCUGAUGUUAGCGGCGGACGGGUGAGUAACACGUGGAUAACCUACCUAUAAGACUGGGAUAACUUCGGGAAACCGGAGCUAAUACCGGAUAAUAUUUUGAACCGCAUGGUUCAAUAGUGAAAUACGGUCUUGCUGUCACUUAUAGAUGGAUCCGCGCUGCAUUAGCUAGUUGGUAAGGUAACGGCUUACCAAGGCAACGAUGCGUAGCCGACCUGAGAGGGUGAUCGGCCACACUGGAGCUGAGACACGGUCCAGACUCCUACGGGAGGCAGCAGUAGGGAAUCUUACGCAAAAGGCGAAAGCCUGACGGAGCAACGCCGAGUGAGUGAUGAAGGUCUUCGGAUCGUAAAACUCUGUUAUUAGGGAAGAACAUAUGUGUAAGUAACUGUGCACAUCUUGACGGUAACUAAUCAGAAAGCCACGGCUAACUACGUG